AGCAGCCGCGGUAAUUCCAGCUCCAAUAGCGUAUAUUAAAGUUGUUGCAGUUAAAAAGCUCGUAGUUGAAUUUCGGGGUUAGUAGGUUGGUCAUGCCUCUGGUAUGUACUGGUCUCACUGAUUCCUCCUUCCUGAUGAACCGUAAUGCCAUUAAUUUGGUGUUGCGGGGAAUUUGGACUGUUACUUUGAAAAAAUUAGAGUGUUUAAAGCAAGCUAACGCUUGAAUACAUUAGCAUGGAAUAAUGAAAUAGGACUUUCGAUCCUAUUUUGUUGGUUUCUAGGAUUGACGUAAUGAUUAAUAGGGAUAGUUGGGGGCAUUAGUAUUCAAUUGUCAGAGGUGAAAAUUCUUGGAUUUAUUGAAGACUAACUACUGCGAAAGCAUUUGCCAAGGAUGUUUUCAUUAAUCAAGAACGAAAGUUAGGGAUCGAAGACGAUCAGAUACCGUCGUAGUCUUAACCAUAAACUAUGCCGACUAGGGAUCGGAUGAUGUUAAUUUUUUAAUGUACUUCAUUCGGCGCCG
rnacentral:rRNA from 1 species